rnacentral:lncRNA from 12 species
CCAGAGGGAGGGGAACUGCCUGGUGCCUGGGGGUCUCAGCUCUCUCUCUCUCACUUCCAGAACAACAGGCCCACAGGGGAGAAAUUUCUAUCACACUUAUCCUCCUUGGACUUCGGGAAGUAAAAACCCAGCCCCCCUCCCGCUGGUGUGUGGACACACUUGAGCCCGGAGGAGUGUUAAAAUUCAGCCGGAGAGGCACCCAGCACUACAGAAGCCUAGAUAAAGGGAAAGGAUUUCAGGCAAGAGGAAAAAAUAAAAUAAAGAGGCAAGACUUAAAAUGUCCUGUGAAAUGGAGAGCAUUUGGCCCUCGGCACACAUGUCUGCGGGAGAUGACUCAACUCCUUUAUAAAGUGUGCAUACUGACAUCUGAUGCAGAAUAAUAAUGCUUGGCACUCACAGAGA